UAGUCCACGCCCUAAACGAUGCACACUAGUUGUUGCAAUGCUAGACAUUGCAGUAAUGCAGUUAACACAGUAAGUGUGCCGCCUGGGGAGUACGGUCGCAAGAUUAAAACUCAAAGGAAUAGACGGGGACCCGCACAAGCGGUGGAGCAUGUGGUUUAAUUCGACGAUACGCGAAGAACCUUACCUGGCCUUGACAUAGUUAGAAUAUAGCAGAGAUGUAAUAGUGCUAGUUUACUAGAGCUAACAUACAGGUGCUGCACGGCUGUCGUCAGCUCGUGUCGUGAGAUGUUGGGUUAAGUCCCCGCAACGAGCGCAACCCACGUCGUUAGUUACUAACAGUUCGGCUGAGGACUCUAACGAGACUGCCUGGGUAACCAGGAGGAAGGUGUGGACGACGUCAAGUCAUCAUGGCCCUUACGGCCAGGGCUACACACGAGCUACAAUGGCAUCUACAGUGAGUUAAUCUCCAAAAGAUAGUCCCAGUUCGGAUUGGGGU
rnacentral:rRNA from 1 species